rnacentral:lncRNA from 1 species
GUACUGGGGAUUAACCCCAGGGCCUCAUGUUUAGAAGGCUAGCACUCUACAAGCUGAACUGUUUACUCAGCCCCAUUUUUGUUUUGGAGGGGAGACCAGGGAUUGAAGUCAGGGGCACUCUACCACUGAGCCACAUCCCUACCCCUAUUUUGUAUUUUACUUAGAGACAGAGUUUCACUGAGUUGCUUAGUGCCCUACCAUUGAUGAGAGUGGUUUUGAAUUCAUGAUCCUUAUGUCUCAGUCUUG